rnacentral:rRNA from 1 species
UGGGGAAUAUUGCACAAUGGGCGAAAGCCUGAUGCAGCAACGCCGCGUGAGUGAUGAAGGCCUUCGGGUUGUAAAGCUCUGUCUUUUGGGACGAUAAUGACGGUACCAAAGGAGGAAGCCACGGCUAACUACGUGCCAGCAGCCGCGGUAAUACGUAGGUGGCAAGCGUUGUCCGGAUUUACUGGGCGUAAAGGAUGCGUAGGCGGAUUUUUAAGUGAGAUGUGAAAACCCUAAGCUUAACUUGGGGACUGCAUUUCAUACUGGAAAUCUAGAGUGCGGGAGAGGAGAAUGGAAUUCCUAGUGUAGCGGUGAAAUGCGUAGAGAUUAGGAAGAACACCAGUGGCGAAGGCGAUUCUCUGGACCGUAACUGACGCUGAGGCAUGAAAGCGUGGGUAGCAAACAGGAUUAGAUACCCUGGUAGUCCACGCCGUAAACGAUGAGUACUAGGUGUAGGAGGUAUCGACCCCUUCUGUGCCGCAGUUAACACAAUAAGUACUCCGCCUGGGAAGUACGAUCGCAAGAUUAAAACUCAAAUGAAUUGACGGGGUCAUAGCUGUUUCCU